rnacentral:lncRNA from 10 species
CCUCGCUCCCUCUCCCCCCACAACUUAAUGCGCACACCCAGCUCAGCCACUCCCCUCGGGGUUGCUGUCUCCUCUCCCCUCUUUCUGUUGUGGAAGCCUCUACUUAGGAAGCCCACGGGGUUACCUGGUGCCCACCUUGGACAUCUCUGUUCUCCACGUGUGUCAGGCUCAGCUCUCCCCACGGCUGUGCAUCUGGAAGGUGACUGCGUCCCAUCCCUGGGCACCCCGGUCACCCGCGUCUCCCCUGUCCCCCACGGGCAGGGCGAGUGCCUCCGGGUUCCUCACUGCUGGCUGACACCCUGGAGUGCUCACGGAGCAGGAUGGGCUCGCAGAGCAGAACAAAGCAGCAGAACUCCAAUGUCCGCUGCUGCUCAGCAGGACGACAACUCACAUCUUCAUUAACAGUGAGGAGCCAGCACCGACCAGGAAAUCGUCUGGUUAGAACAGAAAAGAUGGAAAGACCAAGACUGUCGAGGAGGGAACAGCACUGCGAGACCCUCCCUGAGGACCAGGCUGGCUGAGUUCCACCUGCAGCUCUGUCAGUGCUGGUUAUGGCUGUCACCUGAGCGGUGCCCACGUGGGGACUGUGCAUCCUGUCCCACUCCCGUCUGUUCCCACCUACCUGGGCCCUGCCCCCUUUCUCCCCAACGCAGCUCCCUGCCGUACUUCACCGUGGCUGAUUCUCACAUCCCAGGUGCCUGACCAUCAGUCCUGAGAUCUUCAUGUCCUAAGAAGCCUCCCAGUCUUCACACAGACAAAGCUCACGCCCCUCCUGAUGGCCCAGGAGAACCUCAAGCUCAUGUCAACGACUCCCCUUUCCAGUCCAGUCAGGACCUUUGGCACCGUAAUGCUCCAAGCCUGGUCAGAGGCUGUCAGGAUGGAUAGGCAGGGGAGGUAGAUGUGAAUGCUGUUCUGUAGCUCUUCUUCACUUGGCAAUAAAUGAGAGGUUUCUUUCCAUGCCAGUACAUAGAAAGUGACCUACAUGUUUUUAGAGGGUGAACGGUUUUCUUCUAUGUGCAUGUACCAUAAUUUAACCUGUCCUCUACUGACAGACAUUCAGCUUAUUUCCAGUUUUUCUCUAUUUUAAAAAAAGUGCAACAUGAGAAUCAUUUGAACCCAGGAGGCGGAGGUUGCAGUGAGCUG